rnacentral:rRNA from 1 species
UGCAGUCGAACGGGAUUGAGAGCUUGCUCUCAUGAGAGUGGCGCACGGGUGAGUAACGCGUAUGCAACCUGCCUUUAACAGAGGGAUAGCCCAUAGAAAUGUGGAUUAAUACCUCAUAGUCCUGGAGGAUCGCAUGGUUUUCCAGGUAAAGCUCCGGCGGUUAAAGAUGGGCAUGCGUGACAUUAGCUAGUUGGUGAGGUAACGGCUCACCAAGGCAACGAUGUCUAGGGGUUCUGAGAGGAUGAUCCCCCACACUGGUACUGAGACACGGACCAGACUCCUACGGGAGGCAGCAGUGAGGAAUAUUGGUCAAUGGGCGCAAGCCUGAACCAGCCAUCCCGCGUGCAGGAUGACGGCCCUAUGGGUUGUAAACUGCUUUUAUACAGGAAGAAAAAUCUCUACGUGUAGGGACUUGCCGGUACUGUAUGAAUAAGCAUCGGCUAACUCCGUGCCAGCAGCCGCGGUAAUACGGAGGAUGCAAGCGUUAUCCGGAUUCAUUGGGUUUAAAGGGUGCGUAGGCGGCUCUUUAAGUCAGUGGUGAAAUCCUGCCGCUUAACGGUAGAAUUGCCAUUGAUACUGAAGAGCUUGAGUACAAUUGAGGUAAGCGGAAUGUGUAGUGUAGCGGUGAAAUGCUUAGAUAUUACACAGAACACCAAUUGCGAAGGCAGCUUACUAAACUGUUACUGACGCUGAUGCACGA